CCUACGGGGCGCAGCAGUGGGGGAUAUUGCACAAUGGGGGAAACCCUGAUGCAGCGACGCCGCGUGUGGGAAGACGGUCCUCUGGAUUGUAAACCACUGUCCCCAGGGACGAAGAUGACGGUACCUGGGGAGGAAGCUCCGGCUAACUACGUGCCAGCAGCCGCGGUAAUACGUAGGGAGCGAGCGUUGUCCGGAAUUACUGGGUGUAAAGGGAGCGUAGGCGGGACUGCAAGUUGGGUGUCAAAUCUACCGGCUCAACCGGUAGCCGCACUCAAAACUGCAGUGCUUGAGGGAAGUAGAGGCAGGCGGAAUUCCUAGUGUAGCGGUGAAAUGCGUAGAUAUUAGGAGGAACACCAGUGGCGAAGGCGGCCUGCUGGGCUUUUACUGACGCUGAGGCUCGAAAGUGUGGGGAGCAAACAGGAUUAGAUACCCCAGUAGUC
rnacentral:rRNA from 1 species